CCCCUCUUUUUUAGAUGCUGUACUGCACGCUUAUAUAGGCUAAUAUCAGAAAAUGCUUACUGCUUAGUGACAUAGGUGACAAUAAAUUUGUAUCUAAUCAAGUUCAAGUCUAAUAAAUUUGUAUCUAAUCAAGUUCAGGUCUAAAACAUAAGCAGCAUAACAAAUUGAACUCGUAGCUUGUGCAUAGUUCAGAAUUUAAAUUUCCAGGACUCCCAAAGUAUAAUAAAAAAGGGGAAAAAAGACAAGAUUUUUUUUUCCAAAAGAGAACUUUUAACCAAAGAGAU
rnacentral:lncRNA from 1 species